CACAUGCAAGUCGAACGGCAGCACGGGCUUCGGCCUGGUGGCGAGUGGCGAACGGGUGAGUAAUACAUCGGAACGUACCCAGAAGUGGGGGAUAACGUAGCGAAAGUUACGCUAAUACCGCAUACGUUCUACGGAAGAAAGUGGGGGAUCGCAAGACCUCAUGCUUUUGGAGCGGCCGAUGUCUGAUUAGCUAGUUGGUGAGGUAAAGGCUCACCAAGGCGACGAUCAGUAGCUGGUCUGAGAGGCGACCAGCCACACUGGAACUGAGACACGGUCCAGACUCCUACGGGAGGCAGCAGUGGGGAAUUUUGGACAAUGGGCGCAAGCCUGAUCCAGCAAUGCCGCGUGAGUGAAGAAGGCCUUCGGGUUGUAAAGCUCUUUUGUCAGGGAAGAAACGGCAGGGGCUAAUAUCCUUUGCUAAGACGGU
rnacentral:rRNA from 1 species